GAUAUCAGAGGCAGAUGUUGGUGGUAUGGCAGUAGAGGUUGAACCUUCCCACCAGUAUUUCGUUACAUUUAUUAUUGUGUGACAGAUGACAGCAGAGGGGCAGAAUGGUGUCUGACAUGGAACUCCUGAUGAAGCAAGGGUGUGUCCUUGAAUUCCUCCACGUCGAAAAAAUGGCACCGUUGACAUUCAUUGACACUUGCUGAAUGUUUGUGGAGACCAAUCAGUAGAGGGCUGAAAGCUUGGAGAGACAGGAGGAUGCGCAGCAUAUGUGUGCAGCCUUAAUAUCCAAGGGUAUGUUGUAGUCCUAAGAUAUCUCAGCCUGCUUUCUUUGCCAAUAAACUUUAAUUCUGAAGUCUCAAAUCAUGCAUUAGAACAUCACCUCACAAAAUAUCUUGCACUGAUCUAGUUUCUGGACUUUGGUUUCAAGUCUUUUUCUGAUCUUAUUAUUAUUAUUGCGAAUGUUCUCCAUUUAUAGUAUUCAUUAAUUUACGGUUAAAACAACAGCCAUUCAUUAGGGAUAGUAAUCAUUUAUUAGGUGUAACAAUGCUUUUUCUAUUUCAUGAUAGAGUUAAAAUCUUGAGACUCAAAAUCUGUAUGUCCUAUGAUGACUUCAAUUCUUCACACGAUAAGCAUGUUAAAGACAUCUGGCUGGUGACAGCUCUAUGUCCUUUUGUUGAUUGGAGUAUUCUUACCUGCCAUUACUUACUGGAACAGACAUUUUUCCUAAAAACCUUUCAUAACUGUCAUUGUAUUGCCAGUGAUCAUUGACACUAAGUGCAGGUGGUAAAAAAAGAACCAGCACCAAGAAAGUCUUCCCUGCUUAGGUGUGAAAUAACAACUGAGAAUGGUGCUUCAGACAUCUUUUUCUCUAGGAAGCAUCUGAAUAUUCAGUCUUUGUCAGCAUUUUAAAUCUUUUUUCUCACAUGCCUUAUCAUUUUUACUGAUCAUAUGUCCUCCUUAUAAUUAAUUUAUAUACUGGUGCUUUGAAAGAGGUCUAAUCCAUGCUAGACAAUGAGCCAUGACAAAUUUUGAGUGUCUGUAAUCAAAUCAGGACAGAAAUGAAGUUGUUCAGACAAGUUAGUUGGCCACCUAACACUUAGAACUGUGAUUUUAGCUUCCUUCAUUUCUGAGAUCUGCUCAAAUUUUGCAGUUUUCAAGGUUCCUGUACUUCCUGCCAAGUGGGAGUGCGGCCUAAUUCUUUGGGAUCCACCUGCUGGUGUUUCACUAUGUUCAUCUGAAACAACCGACUCAAUCUGGUGGCUCUAAACUUUGUAUUUCCAAGCAGCUGCUGAGUAAACCUUAGUUAGGUUCUUUGAAUUUGCUUCUCUGUGGUUGUUAUCAUUGUUAUAUUUCAAAGUACCUUAGGAAAAAGAGUAAAAUCCUUCUGAAGUUCAGGAUGCCUCAAGGAAGUUGCAUCACUGUGAGACAUCUUGUUACUUUCUCCCUUAAAGACUCAAAAUUAAUUCCUGAAGAUCAGGCAGAUUAAUAAUUAUCAGACAAACUAAGAGCCAUAGAAUAUUAAAAAUACUAUACACAAUAUCUCCUCUUCAGGAGUCAUUUUAGAUUCAAGAGCUCUGAGGCAUCUUCUACACAGAAAUUCCAGUAUACGGCCUCGUUAUGCUCAGACCUCCAAGGAAACACACUAACAUAAUGAAGAUUUGCCUCCAACUGUUAAAAUGUCGUACACCAACCUUCCCAGUAUUCACCUAUAUCCUCCCCAAGGCUGACUGCAAUAUUUGUAUCAAACUGGAGAGGAAUAAAUAUACAAUUGUGUCACCAUCCUAAUAAUGCUGUUCGUGAUGACACUGAUCUUGGGUGAGUGUGCAUGUGUUAAAAGGCAACAUACACUUAGAAUAGAUACCUAACAUCAGAAGGCUUGUCAGAUGUCUAGAUAACAUUACUAAAAUCAAUUUCACAGGCUUCUUCAGUCAGUUCAGUCUAUUACUGCUACUUCAGUAAAUAUUGACUAUCAAUAUUUGUACAAAAUUUUUGUCUUGUGGUUUAUAUCUAUAUAUGGGCCUUUUUCAUAGUACAGUUUUGUCACUCAUCAAAGCAGUAAAUGACUUCAAAUAAUUGUGGAUUCCAAGGAAAUCAGAAAAUGGUUUCUGAAUUACUGAUGAAAUUUAGAAGAAAUUGAAAUUGUACUGCAUUAGUUUGUUGGGUGGGAAAGAACAGUAUGUACACAGAUUACACCAUAAGGCAUAUAGUUGGCCAGAAUUUGUUAAACUCGUGAACACAAGACACAUAGGCAAGAUAAUAUGGACAAAAUAUCUGACAUUUGCAGCUACUGUAAAGUAUAUAAUCAUUCUUUACAAAUUGUAGGAAGAAAUGUAAUUAUCUAAUUCAAUGGAAAUACAAGAAAGUAUGAGUUUUCAGCAAUUAACGGGGUUGUGAUUUUAAACUUAUCUAAUCUAGGGACUUCAAAAGUGAAAAAUCCUUUCAGGGCAGCAACAUGAUACUGUUCACCCCAUAAGAUUAAGCUAUUUCCUACAUCACAUUUAUUUUAUAUCUAUAAUAUAAUCUAUUCUCUACUUCUGAUCUGUGCUUCCUUUUUUUUUUUUUUUAAUCUGAAGUUUACCACUGAAUUAUCUCUUUCAGUUAUAGUUGAAGUGUCUCCAUUUCCUUUUGUGUAUAGCACAUGCUAACAACGUGCUAUUGUUCACAAAACUGUACAAACAUUUAAGUUUUCACUACAAAUUUCUCAGUUUUAUGUGAGACUCCUUCUCUUUGCACAGACCAAUGCAAAUCUUUUCACGUACAUAGAGAUGUUGUCAAGGCAGCUUUCAUUGUGUUUCACAUGGAAUGUAUCAAGAAAAUCAAGACACUGUAAAUCUACUCAGCCAACAAAUCAGAUUGUUAGACCUAAGCUCAGAUUGCCUUAACACACAAGCUGUCAACUCUUUCACGAAGCGCUGAUGAAAAGAGCAAAGUUGUUUGCUUACUGAAUAACUUGAUAGUGUCUGGCACUGAGUGAGAAAAUUUGAAAUCAUAAAAAAUUGUGAUCACCUCUCCUGAUUACAUGAACCUUCAGAUACAAUAACUAAAACGUACAGUUAUAAAUCUACAUUGUUUAUUACACUUUCUAUUAUUAGAGUCAUGAAUAAAGACUGGCAGCAGAAGCAGCCAUGCUGUUUCUCAACUAUAAAUCCUAAAUACACUUGUUAGUCUUAGAAAGGCUGAAAUAAUCAAAAAGACACUUAGAUGUUAUAAAGUGUAGAAAGAACUGUACGUUGCUUGGAUAAAUGUGCCGGUUGCUAACGCUUUUAUACUCUGUGGCAUGGGUAUCAAUUCAAAGAAUACAGUUCUCAAAAUACUCAAUGGACAGCAACAAGAUCUUGAACGAUUAUUUAUUGGCACAUGCAUUAAUAGUCAGCAAAAGAGGUAAGAUUGAUUACACCAAAAUUAUUGCUACAUUGCUUAUGAUAAAAAAAAUGAAACAGAAUUAAAUGGAAACAAGUGAAAAUAUAAAACCUUACUUCACUGGAAAUUUUAACUUUAAUUUGAAAAUAUGAAGAACAGUACUGAGUCAUGUAAUGAAUGCAUAUCAUUCAGAUUAUCUCUAGAUGGAUUCUUGAUUCUAAGUAAAAAUUUUAUGGCCAGCAAACAUUUAAAAAAACAUGUUCAUUUGUUUUUCACACUGAACUCUGGUUCAUCACUGAAAUCUUCCUGGUGUAUAGCAAGAGAAAAUUCAAAUAGCUGUUUGUGUAUCUUUUAUUACUAGUAAUAUCUUUCUUUACUUUAAAACCCUCAGGAUUUUCUUUUCUCCAUUCACUGGUCGGUUAGCAACAAGAGCACUGAUUACAGUGAUAAGGAGUUAAAUGACACUCUUUGUUCCUAAGAUCAACUCAAGUGAAACGCAAGUGUCAGCCUGUACUGUUACUGACACCAAUGGUGAAAUUUCCAUUCCCUCUAUUAUAACUGUCUUUAUGAAUAAGGAAAGUAAGAUUUAACCCUAAUUUUUCAAAAAGCAACAUUUGCUACAGUAAUUCAGUAGAAUAUCUCGAGAGCAUGAUUUUGUUGUAAACUUAGAUUUCCUUUCCUUCCUUUGUGCAAAAAAUAGGACACUGUAAAACAAAGAACUGAAUUUAUAUAAAUGGUGUAUUUCCUCAUUUAGUAUCUCUAUCAGCACUUUGCAGGCUUUACAUCCCUUAUUCAUGAACUACGUGUUAAAGAAAGUAAUGUUAAUUAAUAAUCCUUUGUGUAGAGCCCGUUAAUUCAAUACAGAACCUAUUACUGUAGAUUGAGAUACAUAAUUUUUGAUUGAUUUUUACAAUUCCAAAUGAGAUGUGUUGCUCAUAAUGGAAUGAAAAAUAUUUUCUAUAGAAAAUGUUUUUAGGAUGUGAUUUUAUUGAAAAUAUUUUCCAUCAGGACUUGAAAAUUAUGUACCUGGAUGUAGGAUCUCACUGAAUAAUGAAAGUAAUAUUUCAGGAUGUCAGUGGGAAAAAUUUUCAAGAACUUUCCUAGUUAUUGCAAUUUAACAUUUAGCUUUAAGACAACAUAAGUUAAUUAAGAAUAAAAUGUACCACAGUUAUUCAUUCAUGUAUUAUUGAAAUGUUGCAGUUUCUUAUGUUGCUAAUUUAUUUUUCCUUGGCAAACUGUAUCUAAGUUUCCAAAAAGGCAAAUCUAGGAACAUGCAUUUUUUUACACAUUAACAUUCUACAAUUCUAUUGAAUGAAAUCAAAGUAUUGUGUUUUGGUAAAUAAUGUAGUGUUUCUCCCUUAAAACAACUGCCAAAGCAAAUCUCAACACAUGCAAAAAGAGAUUAUGGUUCACAGUAGGCAUGUUUCUUUACCAGACUGUCCCAGGAAAAUAAUGUCAGUUUUAUUCACUGUUUUGUGGUCAGCUAAGAUUUGAAACCAUCUUUAAGUUCUGAUUCUCCAGCUCAAGUAAGGAAUGUCUCAUCUACUUUACCCCAUGUAAAACUGUCAAAGAGCACAUAAGGCCAUUAGUGUGUUGAUAACUCAAAGUAAUUCUGUGUUUUCCAGCAUAGCCAGAAUAAGGAUAAGCUUUAGUAUUGCUACCACUGGUUACUUGUUACCUCUUCAAACCUCAUGAGCAUGGCUCCAAUAGAGCUGUCUCAGUGUUUGGGACACACUGCCACCAGUUAUGGAAAUCAGUCUGAUUUGUGCCUGACAUGUCUGUUCAUCCCAGUGAGUUACCAUUCCAGCACAGUGGUCAGUCGUUUAGGAACUGUUCUCAUCUUCCAUGCUGAACUUCUCCAAGCUGUUCUCCUCAACUCAUGUUGAGGUUGGUUUUGUAUCUUGUGAAUCUCAAAUACAGAAAAGUUUUGGCCCUGAUUUUUAUGAUCCUUACAGUUGAGUAACUUGCAUACUCGCUUUCUAUUUUUCCACUCAGUUAAUGUUGUCCAGUUGGCAACAGUAUAGUUAAACAUCACAGCCAGAAACAUAAAUACGCUGUAAUCACAAUAUGUGGUGAUCUCUAUCAUAUUUUCUUUCUUUCUUUCUUAUUCAAAUACAGUAUUUUCUAGGUUUGAGUAUCAGAUCUCUUUUCUGUCACUAAAACUAAAACAGUGGUAUAUCAGAAAAUUUAAAUUCUGUUCUUAGAAGAAGAGGUUGAGUUUUAAACUGAAUAUGCAUGCUUUGGAAAGUAUGGGUCUAAAAAUCUACCUCAGUUUUUACUUUGGAGAUCAUCAUUUCUUUAUUAGAAUUAGUUGUCUUCUUCAUAUUUCUUUUACAUUCUCUUUUCACAGUGGCCUGGAGAAGGAUAUGAGCACUACUUUAUAUUGGCAGUGGCAGGCAGAACUCAGUAUGCAAAGUACAAUGACGUUUUGUGAGUGGAGGUGAUCUGAAAAGUCACAGUUUAAUCAUGUGUUAUCAAAAUUGAAGUAUAUGCAUGGACCUAUUCUAAGAACUAAAUUAAAAUACUGUCUAAAAUCUGAUAUGUUUUCACUGCAGAGAAUGGAAGAUUUUUCGUUUUCUCCGAUUGCAUUUUUAUUUCCCAAGAAAAUUGUUACAGAACUUGCUGUCUUCUUGCAGAGGUGACACUGUGCUUCAGAAUACAGCAGGGAAUACUACUGCAUACUACUGUGGGUGUCUUUUUUAUUGAACUAGUGUGCAAGUUGAGAGCCAGCUUCACAGACUUGUCAUUGAACAUUGUGGUGCAUAUUGUUGUUCCCAGGUUGUCUAGAGGACAUUAUUGAAUAGAUCUGGAAAAUAAAUAAAUAACCCCCAACUGUGUUCAGAA